AUCUUUCUAGUAUUAACGAUGAGUAUAAGUGACUUCCAAUCACCUGGUCUUGGUUAAACCCCAAGGAAAGAUA
rnacentral:tRNA from 1 species